GUCGGGUAAGAAGGUGAUUAUGUUCCAUAGACAUUUCUGGAAGCCUGCUGUGGGCAGGACAGACACUUUCCUGACUUCCUGCCUACCUUUGGAACGUACCAUUCAGUCACAGUGCGUUUACCAUUAUGGCAGCUUCGUUGCCUUAGCAAUGCCGCCUCGGCCAUGGCCUUUCUGACGUGUUCCUCCCCUCUCUAGCCGUGCACCCUCUUCCUUGCUAGAGACGUGGUUUGACUGUGGCAGAUUGUGCCAGAACUGCCCGCGGUGUCACUUCUCUAGGAAACCGCGGAAGAGGCCUCACGCUUUACAUGCUAAACGUGCAAAGAAGAGUCUGAGCUGAGAUGACCGGGAAAUGGAUGUUCCUCUCUGUGCUGGUUCGCAGGACUUCCAGCGUCGUAUGAAAGCCUGACGCUGCGCAGCCAGCUCGCAUGACCCGUGUCAGGGCAGGAUCGUGGAAGGCAGGAGCUGGGUGAUGCACAUCAGAGGAUAAUCUAAACAGCACUGUGCUUAUGUAAAAAAAAAAAAAAAUUAAUUGAAGUUGUUUUU